UCAUGGUAUACUUGCAAAUAACUACACGUAGCUAUAUUUACUCUACCACAAAAGAAGUUUACAAUUCAUAGAACAGUCUUCCUUCACGCGGCUUGGCUGGUUC
rnacentral:rRNA from 1 species